AGAGCGAACGCUGGCGGCAGGCCUAACACAUGCAAGUCGAGCGCCCCGCAAGGGGAGCGGCAGACGGGAGAGUAACACGUGAGAACGUACCCUUCAGUUCGGAACAACCCAGGGAAACUUGGGCUAAUACCGAAUACGUCCGUAAGGAGAAAGAUUUAUCGCUGAAGGAUCGGCCCGCGUCUGAUUAGCUAGUUGGUGAGGUAACGGCUCACCAAGGCUACGAUCAGUAGCUGGUCUGAGAGGAUGAUCAGCCUCACUGGGACUGAGACACGGCCCAGACUCCUACGGGAGGCAGCAGUGGGGAAUAUUGGACAAUGGGCGCAAGCCUGAUCCAGCCAUGCCGCGUGGAUGAUGAAGGCCUUAGGGUUGUAAAGUCCUUUCGACGGGGAAGAUAAUGACGGUACCGUAGAAGAGCCCCGGCUAACUUCGUGCCAGCAGCCGC
rnacentral:rRNA from 1 species